rnacentral:rRNA from 1 species
GUCGUCAGCUCGUGUCGUGAGAUGUUGGUUAGUCCGCAACGAGCGCAACCCCUAUUGUUAGUUGCCAUCAUUCAGUUGGGCACUCUAGCGAGACUGCCGGUAAUAAACCGGAGGAAGGUGGGGAUGACGUCAAAUCAUCAUGCCCCUUAUGACCUGGGCUACACACGUGCUACAAUGGUUGGUACAACGAGUUGCGAGUCGGUGACGGCGAGCUAAUCUCUUAAAGCCAAUCUCAGUUCGGAUUGUAGGCUGCAACUCGCCUACAUGAAGUCGGAAUCGCUAGUAAUCGCGGAUCAGCACGCCGCGGUGAAUACGUUCCCGGGCCUU